CGUACUUCUCAUUUUGUUGUGCCGACUCAUGGUGACCUCAUGUGCGUCAGAGGAGAACUGUGUUGGACUCUGAUGGAGUGAAUGACGUAGGUUUGCCCCAGGAUGUGACAGCCUCUUGUGCCAUUCUGGACAGAGCGAGGAGAUAGACAGGAAAGCCAGCGUGCGAGCCUCGCGGAGGAGAGAUUAGCAGAAGACACGCCUCGGGGUGAACUAUGACCAUCCUCUGUUGCUGAGAUUGCUGGCAGUUUUCAUUUUCUCUGUUCACCCAACACUUCUGAAAUGGAUGUCAGUCAUGUUUAUAAACAGAGUUUUUAAAAAUACUCGAAAAGUGAGAGCAUUUAAAGAAACCGAGAGGAACGGACUUGUGUCAAAUGCACCUGGAAUAAUUUGGAAUCGUCCUGGGGUUUCAUCUCAUUUCGUUAAUCACUUCGCAAAUGGAACGUUUAUGUAUUAUCCAACGUUAGAAGGGAGGAAGCACGGACACGUUAUUUAGCACCUACUUAAUGUAUAAGGACUGGAGAUAGGACAUCUUUUCUUUACUCAAGAGAGUUAACUCAGAAGAGUGACAGACACACUCGUAUACCAGUGGCCGUCCAGUUGAUUCCGACUGAUGGCAACUCUCUGUGUUUCAGCGUGGAACUACACUCGGUAGGGUUUUCAACGGCUGUGACUUUUCAGAAGCAGAUCACCAGGACUUUCUUCUGAGGCAUCUCUGGGAACCUGGGAAGGAAAAGAAUCUCAACAAUGAAUAGACCACUCAUCACUACCAACUACAGAUGACUUACCAUUUCGUUUACAAAGGGAAUUUAAUUGUGGUGUUGAAUUGUGGUGGUGAAGAAUAUUGGAUAUACCGUGGACUGCCA